rnacentral:rRNA from 1 species
AGGGUUUGAUCAUGGCUCAGAUUGAACGCUGGCGGCAGCCCUUACACAUGCAAGUCGAGCGAGGAAGUUUCUUCGGAAGCGAGUAAAGCGGCGGACGGGUGAGUAACGCGUAGGAAUCUACCAUUCAGUGGGGGAUAGCUCGGGGAAACCCGAAUUAAUACCGCAUAUACCCUAAGGGGGAAAGAGGGCCUAUCCUUGGAAGCUCUUGCUGUUUGAUGAGCCUGCGUGAGAUUAGUUUGUUGGUGAGGUAAUGGCUCACCAAGACUACGAUCUCUAGCUGGUCUGAGAGGACGAUCAGCCACACUGGGACUGAGACACGGCCCAGACUCCUACGGGAGGCAGCAGUGGGGAAUAUUGGACAAUGGGGGCAACCCUGAUCCAGGCAUGCCGCGUGUGUGAAGAAGGCCUUCGGGUUGUAAAGCACUUUAGGUAAGGAAGAAAAGUUAUUGGUUAAUACCUAAUGACCGUGACAUUACUUACAGAAUAAGGACCGGCUAACUCCGUGCCAGCAGCCGCGGUAAUAC